ensembl:lncRNA
CCUUCCUCCACCUUUCGCUUUUUUUUUCCCUCCUCCUUUUCCCGGAGCAAGAGAUGCUGAGUUGGGGAAAGAGGAAUUGCUCGUUUUUUAGGAGAAAGGAAACCCGGAAAGUCUCGCCCUGCACCCGGCUGCAUCAGGUGGCCCUCGCUCUGGCCGCCACCGAGUCCGUUCUGCGGAACCUGAGUCUCCCCGCUCUGGCUGCCAGCGCCGUCCCGGUCCUGGAGCUGCUCUCGGCCGUGAGGAGCGACGUGGUCGCCUGCAUGCCCCGGCCCAGCCUCGGCUCCCUCUCUCAAUCUUCCGCUAGCCCUGGAGCCCCAGACUCUGCUCACGGGGGAGCCUGGGCGGGCAGAUCCAGGGACGCGGCCCGCUUAGCUGAACGCCGGCUUGCGGAAAAUCAGCCCUGGGCGCGGGCCCCAGAGAGAGCGCGGCCCGGCCAGGGGGGAUGGGCUCAGCCCCUAGAUUUCCACACUCAAGCGCCCCCCAUCCGCGGCCAGCCGGACGGAGUGGAUCCGAGCUCCGAGAAAAAGAAGAGAAUGCACAAAGCGAGGAGACCGGAAAGUCCCCGAUGUCGCGAAGCCGAGGCGGUUCUCAGCCUCCUGAGGCUGCUCACCUUUGACCUGAAGCUGGCGGUUCUCGCAGGGCCCUGUGCCUCAGCUAAGUAGUCCCGGAUCCAAAGCGGUUUGCUCUACGGGCGCUUUCCACCGGCGGUGCUGUGUCCCUGCGCCAACUGGCCAGCGAGGGGGUCAGGCUCCGCGCUGCGCCUUCGCCAGCGCUCAUUUCCCGAGAACAGCAUCAGACGGCAGGAGACCGGGGAUUUGUGCAGUGCCUCAGGUUCAAAACCCAGGCCCGGGGCCCGGGUAGGGGGCACAGGAAUGGGGGACGUUAUGAUCACUGAGGGAGGGGCGGCUAGGUGGCUCAGUGGGUAGAAUCCCGGCCCUGGAUUUAAGAGGACCUGAUUUCACUCAGAACUAGCUGUGUUACCCCCGGCAAAGUCACUUAACCCCAUUGCCUCAAAAGAAAAAUCCGGGUGGUCCAGUUGGGCAAUUCGCCGCAGGUCCUUGAACCUCAGUAUCUCCACAGCUGUAAAAUGGGACUAAAAACAGGGUAGUGUGAUAGAAAUUUGAGAGGCACCUGCAAUCGGGAAAUCUUGGUUCAAAUCCUGCCUUUGUCGUUGUCUACCAAAAUCACUUUGGAGAAAUUAUCCAAUCUGGGAAAUGGGGAUAAUACACCAAAUCGUUGGCGUGUGAUGCAAAGGAAAAUGGACCUGGAGUCUGCAGCCUUCGUGAUGACUGUGGAACACUGCACAAGUCACUUACCCAACCGGAUCACAAUUUCCUCCUGUAAAAUGGAGCUCAUACUUGAAGUAUUUAGCUCGCAAGAUUGUUGUGAGCAACGUGUUCUGUCCAUGAAAUGGUUUUGCAAAUGUGAAUGUCAUUAUCCUGCCCACCUCCUAAGGUUGCACAUGGCGAAAGGGCCUUGACUUUUGCAGAAUGCUUCCUAAAUAUGAUACUUUGUGAAGAGUAGAUUGUGAAACCUCUGUGAGGUAUAAUUCUGUCAAUGAGAUACAGAUGUUAUUUUUUUAAGUGAUUUUCCUUCCCCUUCUUUUCCCUGAUAAUUUAUCGUUAUUUAUAAACCUCUUACAAACGAUGGUGUCUUGUAACUCACUCCUUGCACACUCACUCCGGGCCUACAGGAUGGCAGCUCAAAGUCUUCAUCACAUUCUUAAAAAUCUCGGGGUCCCAUCAAAAAUAGUGAAGGGCAAUGUUUUGGGGUGGAGAGAGGGGGAGGAGCGGGACUGCUCUGGGCCAAUUCUGUAGCCGAUUCCUGAAUCACUGUGUGAUUGCACCUUCCCAAAUAUUUCUUGUUUUUGUUUCCCUACAAAAGGUGUCUAUGUUGGGUGUG